UUCUUAUUGGAUGAUGACUGUUACAUGUCAUGUUCUAUAGAUUUGAUAUUCAAACAUGACACGUGUGACAGUUAUCAUCC
rfam:Glycine soja cultivar W05 scaffold1239_22, whole genome shotgun sequence.